GUCUACGGCAUGCCACCCCUGAACAAGGCCAAUCCUGUCUGAUCUCGGAAGCUAAGCAGGGUCGGGCCCAGUUAGUACUUGGAUGGGAGGCCACCCAGGAAGACCAGGUGCUAUAGGCG
rnacentral:rRNA from 1 species